GAAGGUUUAGCUCAAAUGGUAGAGCAUGUGCCUGACUUGCAUAAGGUCCUGGGUUCAAACCCCAGCACCUCCA
rnacentral:tRNA from 1 species